GACGUAGGAUGCAAGCGUUGUCCGGAAUUAUUGGGCGUAAAGAGUUCGUAGGCGGUUAUCUAAGUCUGGUGUUAAAGCCCGAAGCUCAACUUCGGCAUGGCAUUGGAAACUGGGUAGCUAGAGUGUGGUAGAGGUAUCGGGAAUUCCUGGUGUAGCGGUGAAAUGCGUAGAUAUCAGGAGGAACACCGGCGGCGAAAGCGCGAUACUGGGCCAUAACUGACGCUGAGGAACGAAAGCCAGGGGAGCGAAAGGGAUUAGAUACCCCUGUAGUCCUGGCCGUAAACGAUGGAUACUAGGUGUUGGAGGAUUCGACCCCUUCAGUGCCGUAGCUAACGCGAUAAGUAUCCCGCCUGGGGAGUACGACCGCAAGGUUGAA
rnacentral:rRNA from 1 species